UGACGGCCAAGAAGAAGACAGCACCGGAAGACGCUAAAACUCUAGCAGACAUAGAUCCCGCUGUACCGACUACCUUUCGUAGCAGGAAAGGUAAAUCAGGACGGGUACAUGCUGAUGGAGGAACACUCAGGUAGACUUCACAGGAACCUUCUGGAGUCUUACAGUAAUUCUAGUAAAUUGUGUACUGACUUAUCAUUGUGCAGUAAAUCCCUACAAUACUACAUGUUCCUAUUAUUCUGAUAAAGUGCUGAAAUAUGUGUGUGUGAGAGUGUCCUACAAUAAAGUGAUCAAAUGU